GAAGACCAAGGGUUCCUGUCCAACGUUAAUCGGGGCAGGGUGAGUCGACCCCUAAGGCGAGGCCGAAAGGCGUAGUCGAUGGGAAACAGGUUAAUAUUCCUGUACUUGGUGUUACUGCGAAGGGGGGACGGAGAAGGCUAUGUUGGCCGGGCGACGGUUGUCCCGGUUUAAGCGUGUAGGCUGGUUUUCCAGGCAAAUCCGGAAAACUAAGGCUGAGGCGUGAUGACGAGGCACUACGGUGCUGAAGCAACAAAUGCCCUGCUUCCAGGAAAAGCCUCUAAGCAUCAGGUAACAUCAAAUCGUACCCCAAACCGACACAGGUGGUCAGGUAGAGAAUACCAAGGCGCUUGAGAGAACUCGGGUGAAGGAACUAGGCAAAAUGGUGCCGUAACUUCGGGAGAAGGCACGCUGAUAUGUAGGUGAAGUCCCUCGCGGAUGGAGCUGAAAUCAGUCGAAGAUACCAGCUGGCUGCAACUGUUUAUUAAAAACACAGCACUGUGCAAACACGAAAGUGGACGUAUACGGUGUGACGCCUGCCCGGUGCCGGAAGGUUAAUUGAUGGGGUCAGCGCAAGCGAAGCUCUUGAUCGAAGCCCCGGUAAACGGCGGCCGUAACUAUAACGGUCCUAAGGUAGCGAAAUUCCUUGUCGGGUAAGUUCCGACCUGCACGAAUGGCGUAAUGAUGGCCAGGCUGUCUCCACCCGAGACUCAGUGAAAUUGAACUCGCUGUGAAGAUGCAGUGUACCCGCGGCAAGACGGAAAGACCCCGUGAACCUUUACUAUAGCUUGACACUGAACAUUGAGCCUUGAUGUGUAGGAUAGGUGGGAGGCUUUGAAGUGUGGACGCCAGUCUGCAUGGAGCCGACCUUGAAAUACCACCCUUUAAUGUUUGAUGUUCUAACGUUGACCCGUAAUCCGGGUUGCGGACAGUGUCUGGUGGGUAGUUUGACUGGGGCGGUCUCCUCCUAAAGAGUAACGGAGGAGCACGAAGGUUGGCUAAUCCUGGUCGGACAUCAGGAGGUUAGUGCAAUGGCAUAAGCCAGCUUGACUGCGAGCGUGACGGCGCGAGCAGGUGCGAAAGCAGGUCAUAGUGAUCCGGUGGUUCUGAAUGGAAGGGCCAUCGCUCAACGGAUAAAAGGUACUCCGGGGAUAACAGGCUGAUACCGCCCAAGAGUUCAUAUCGACGGCGGUGUUUGGCACCUCGAUGUCGGCUCAUCACAUCCUGGGGCUGAAGUAGGUCCCAAGGGUAUGGCUGUUCGCCAUUUAAAGUGGUACGCGAGCUGGGUUUAGAACGUCGUGAGACAGUUCGGUCCCUAUCUGCCGUGGGCGCUGGAGAACUGAGGGGGGCUGCUCCUAGUACGAGAGGACCGGAGUGGACGCAUCACUGGUGUUCGGGUUGUCAUGCCAAUGGCACUGCCCGGUAGCUAAAUGCGGAAGAGAUAAGUGCUGAAAGCAUCUAAGCACGAAACUUGCCCCGAGAUGAGUUCUCCCUGACUCCUUGAGAGUCCUGAAGGAACGUUGAAG
rnacentral:rRNA from 1 species